UACGUAGGGGGCAAGCGUUGUUCGGAAUUACUGGGCGUAAAGGGCGCGUAGGCGGCAUGGCAAGUCGGGAGUGAAAGCCCGGGGCUCAACCCCGGAACUGCUUUCGAAACUGCCAAGCUAGAGUGCGGAAGAGGCAACUGGAAUUCCCAGUGUAGCGGUGAAAUGCGUAGAUAUUGGGAAGAACACCGGAGGCGAAGGCGGGUUGCUGGGCCGACACUGACGCUGAGGCGCGAAAGCCAGGGGAGCGAACGGG
rnacentral:rRNA from 1 species